rnacentral:rRNA from 1 species
GUGGGGAAUAUUGGACAAUGGGCGAAAGCCUGAUCCAGCCAUGCCGCGUGUGUGAAGAAGGUCUUCGGAUUGUAAAGCACUUUAAGUUGGGAGGAAGGGCAGUAAGUUAAUACCUUGCUGUUUUGACGUUACCGACAGAAUAAGCACCGGCUAACUUCGUGCCAGCAGCCGCGGUAAUACGAAGGGUGCAAGCGUUAAUCGGAAUUACUGGGCGUAAAGCGCGCGUAGGUGGUUUUGUAAGUUGGAGGUGAAAUCCCCGGGCUCAACCUGGGAACUGCCUCCAAAAAUGCAUGACUAGAGUACGGUAGAGGGUAGUGGAAUUUCCUGUGUAGCGGUGAAAUGCGUAGAUAUAGGAAGGAACACCAGUGGCGAAGGCGACUACCUGGACUGAUACUGACACUGAGGUGCGAAAGCGUGGGGAGCAAACAGGAUUAGAUACCCUUGUAGUCC